GAUGAAGAACGUAGCGAAAUGCGAUACGUAAUGUGAAUUGCAGAUCUCUCAGUGAAUCAUCGAAUCUUUGAACGCACAUUGCGCCCGCUAGUAUUCUGGCGGGCAUGCCUGUUCGAGCGUCAUUUCAACCCUCAAGCCCCCUUAGGCUUGGUGUUGGGGCGUUACGGCGGAUAUCUCUCCCCGUAAGCCCUGAAAGUUAGUGGCGGGCUCGCCCAAGUCUCCUCUGCGUAGUAACUAUAACCUCGCUCUGGAACUAGGCGUGUUUCUCUAGCCGUUAAACACCCCCUAUAUUUUUAAGGUUGACCUCGGAUCAGGUAGGAAUACCCGCUGAACUUAAGCAUAUCAAUAAGCGGAGGA
rnacentral:misc_RNA from 1 species